GGCAAGGUCCAUACCAUGUUGAAUGCACUGGUUCUCGUUCGAUCACCAAAGUUAAGCAGCAUCGGGCGCGGUCAGUACUUGGAUGGGUGACCGCUUGGGAACACCGCGUGUCCUUGCCUUUC
rnacentral:rRNA from 1 species